GCAAUGGUGGUUCAGUGGUAGAAUUCUCUUUCCACGGAGGAGGCCUGGGUUUGAUUCCUGGCCAAUGCU
rnacentral:tRNA from 1 species